rnacentral:rRNA from 1 species
UACGUAGGGUCCGAGCGUUGUUCGGAAUUACUGGGCGUAAAGGGCUCGUAGGCGGCCAACUAAGUCUGACGUGAAAUCCCUCGGCUUAACCGGGGAACUGCAUCUGAUACUGGAUGGCUUGAGAUUGGGAGAGGGAUGCGGAAUUCCAGGUGUAGCGGUGAAAUGCGUAGAUAUCUGGAGGAACACCGGUGGCGAAGGCGGCAUCCUGGACCAACACUGACGCUGAGGAGCGAAAGCCAGGGGAGCAAAGCGGG